rnacentral:rRNA from 1 species
AUUGAACGCUGGCGGCAGGCCUAACACAUGCAAGUCGAGCGGAUGAAGGGAGCUUGCUCCUGGAUUCAGCGGCGGACGGGUGAGUAAUGCCUAGGAAUCUGCCUGGUAGUGGGGGAUAACGUCCGGAAACGGGCGCUAAUACCGCAUACGUCCUGAGGGAGAAAGUGGGGGAUCUUCGGACCUCACGCUAUCAGAUGAGCCUAGGUCGGAUUAGCUAGUUGGUGGGGUAAAGGCCUACCAAGGCGACGAUCCGUAACUGGUCUGAGAGGAUGAUCAGUCACACUGGAACUGAGACACGGUCCAGACUCCUACGGGAGGCAGCAGUAGGGAAUAUUGGACAAUGGGCGAAAGCCUGAUCCAGCCAUGCCGCGUGUGUGAAGAAGGUCUUCGGAUUGUAAAGCACUUUAAGUUGGGAGGAAGAGCAGUAAGUUAAUACCUUGCUGUUUUGACGUUACCAACAGAAUAAGCACCGGCUAACUUCGUG